AAAAGAAGUAGAAAAAGCAAAUGAGAAAGAUAAGAAUGGAGAAAGAUGGGGAGUUGGAUGCAAGAUCUUGUAUCUAGAUUUUUUUUUUUACUUUUUAUUUUAUUCAUUUUUAUUUUUAAAUU
rnacentral:ribozyme from 12 species